AGAUGCGAGAGUAGAGCAUAUCAAUAAGCGGAGGAAAAGAAACUAACAAGGAUUCCCUUAGUAACGGCGAGUGAAGCGGGAAGAGCUCAAAUUUGAAAUCUUCAAGGUUCUACCUUGACGAAUUGUAGUUUAUAGAAGUGUUUUCUGUUAGUAGAGUGGCAAAAGUUCUUUGGAAUAGGACAUCAUAGAGGGUGAGAAUCCCGUAUUUGGUCAUUCCUCCUAGCGUUGUGAUACACUUUCAAAGAGUCGGAUUGUUUGGGAAUGCAGUCCAAAAUGGGUGGUGAAAUUUCAUCUAAAGCUAAGUAUUGGCGAGAGACCGAUAGCGAACAAGUACCGUAGAGGGAAAGAUGAAAAGAACUUUGAAAAGAGAGUUAAACAGUACGUGAAAUUGUCAAAAGGGAAGCGUUUGACACCAGUGUUGUUUUUCCGAAAAUCAAUUACGAAUGUUUUGUUUUUAAGAAGUUAUGACUUCAUCGGCUUGCUUCUUUCUUUACGAAACUUUCUUAAUGCACUUUUCGGUUAACAAGUCAACAUCAAUUUCUUUUGUUGUAAAAGGGUAUGAGGAAGGUGGCUUUCUUUUCGGAGAAAGUGUUUAUAGCCUUGUGCCUCUACAAUCGGAGAGAUUGAGGUCUGCAGCGUAGAUCCUUCGGGGUUAGAUACGUUUGUGCUAAGUUAUAGCUUUUCAUAGACAACUUGUUGACUAUGUUUAGUCUUGUAGCUUACUCGCUGACGCUAUUUUACCUACGCUUAGGAUGUUGACGCGCGUGUGUGCGUG
rnacentral:rRNA from 1 species